CCUGCCCAUAAGACUGGGAUAACUCCGGGAAACCGGGGCUAAUACCGGAUAACAUUUUGAACUGCAUGGUUCGAAAUUGAAAGGCGGCUUCGGCUGUCACUUAUGGAUGGACCCGCGUCGCAUUAGCUAGUUGGUGAGGUAACGGCUCACCAAGGCAACGAUGCGUAGCCGACCUGAGAGGGUGAUCGGCCACACUGGGACUGAGACACGGCCCAGACUCCUACGGGAGGCAGCAGUAGGGAAUCUUCCGCAAUGGACGAAAGUCUGACGGAGCAACGCCGCGUGAGUGAUGAAGGCUUUCGGGUCGUAAAACUCUGUUGUUAGGGAAGAACAAGUGCUAGUUGAAUAAGCUGGCACCUUGACGGUACCUAACCAGAAAGCCACGGCUAACUACGUGCCAGCAGCCGCGGUAAUACGUAGGUGGCAAGCGUUAUCCGGAAUUAUUGGGCGUAAAGCGCGCGCAGGUGGUUUCUUAAGUCUGAUGUGAAAGCCCACGGCUCAACCGUGGAGGGUCAUUGGAAACUGGGAGACUUGAGUGCAGAAGAGGAAAGUGGAAUUCCAUGUGUAGCGGUGAAAUGCGUAGAGAUAUGGAGGAACACCAGUGGCGAAGGCGACUUUCUGGUCUGUAACUGACACUGAGGCGCGAAAGCGUGGGGAGCAACAGGAUUAGAUACCUGGUAGUCACGCCGUAAACGAUGAGUGCUAAGUGUAGAGGUUUCGCCCUUUAGUGCUGAAGUAACGCAUAAGCACUCCGCCUGGGGAGUACGCCGCAAGCUGAACUCAAAGAAUUGACGGGGCCCGCACAAGCGGUGGAGCAUGUGGUUUAAUCGAAGCACGCGAAGACCUUACAGG
rnacentral:rRNA from 1 species